rnacentral:tRNA from 1 species
GACUUGGUAGCUAAUUUGGCAAAGCACUUGUCUAGCAUACAGGAGCCGUGGGUUCGAAUCCCAACUGAGCA